ACGAAGUUGGCGGCGUGCUAAUACAUGCAAGUCGAACGCUUCUUUCCUCCCGAGUGCUUGCACUCAAUUGGAAAGAGGAGUGGCGGACGGGUGAGUAACACGUGGGUAACCUACCCAUCAGAGGGGGAUAACACUUGGAAACAGGUGCUAAUACCGCAUAACAGUUUAUGCCGCAUGGCAUAAGAGUGAAAGGCGCUUUCGGGUGUCGCUGAUGGAUGGACCCGCGGUGCAUUAGCUAGUUGGUGAGGUAACGGCUCACCAAGGCCACGAUGCAUAGCCGACCUGAGAGGGUGAUCGGCCACACUGGGACUGAGACACGGCCCAGACUCCUACGGGAGGCAGCAGUAGGGAAUCUUCGGCAAUGGACGAAAGUCUGACCGAGCAACGCCGCGUGAGUGAAGAAGGUUUUCGGAUCGUAAAACUCUGUUGUUAGAGAAGAACAAGGACGUUAGUAACUGAACGUCCCCUGACGGUAUCUAACCAGAAAGCCACGGCUAACUACGUGCCAGCAGCCGCGGUAAUACGUAGGUGGCAAGCGUUGUCCGGAUUUAUUGGGCGUAAAGCGAGCGCAGGCGGUUUCUUAAGUCUGAUGUGAAAGCCCCCGGCUCAACCGGGGAGGGUCAUUGGAAACUGGGAGACUUGAGUGCAGAAAAGGAGAGUGGAAUUCCAUGUGUAGCGGUGAAAUGCGUAGAUAUAUGGAGGAACACCAGUGGCGAAGGCGGCUCUCUGGUCUGUAACUGACGCUAAGGCUCGAAAGCGUGGGGAGCAAACAGGAUUAGAUACCCUGGUAGUCCACGCCGUAAACGAUGAGUGCUAAGUGUUGGAGGGUUUCCGCCCUUCAGUGCUGCAGCAAACGCAUUAAGCACUCCGCCUGGGGGAGUACGACCGCAAGGUUGAAACUCAAAGGAAUUGACGGGGGCCCGCACAAGCGGUGGAGCAUGUGGUUUAAUUCAAAGCAACGCGAAAGAACCUUACCAGGUCUUGACAUCCUUUGACCACUCUAGAGAUAGAGCUUUCCCUUCGGGGACAAAGUGA
rnacentral:rRNA from 1 species